rnacentral:rRNA from 1 species
UACGAAGGGGGCUAGCGUUGUUCGGAAUCACUGGGCGUAAAGCGCACGUAGGCGGAUUGUUAAGUCGGGGGUGAAAUCCGUGAGGCUCAACCUCAGAACUGCCUUCGAUACUGGCAAUCUCGAGUCCGGAAGAGGUUGGUGGAACAGCUAGUGUAGAGGUGAAAUUCGUAGAUAUUAGCUAGAACACCAGUGGCGAAGGCG